rnacentral:misc_RNA from 1 species
GAUGAAGAACGUAGUGAAAUGCGAUAAGUAAUGCGAAUUGCAGAAUUUCCGUGAGUCAUCGAAUCUUUGAACGCACAUUGCGCCCACUGGUAUUCCGGUGGGCAUGCCUGUUCGAGCGUCAUUAUCCUCCCUCAAACCCCGGGUUUGGUGUUGGACCCAAGUUGUGUGAACAACUGGUCUUAAAGACAAUGACGGCGUCCGUGGGACCCUCGGUGCAACGAGCUUUUAGGAGCACGCAUCGAGUUGCAAGGACCUUCCGGGCCGGUCUCCUUUACUAUUUUACAAGGUUGACCUCGGAUCAGGUAGGAAUACCCGCUGAACUUAAGCAUAUCAAUACGGAGA